CCGCCCGUCGCUCCUACCGAUUGAAUGAUCCGGUGAAGUGUUCGGAUCGCGGCGACGUGGGCGGUUCGCCGCCUGCGACGUCGCGAGAAGUCCACUAAACCUUAUCAUUUAGAGGAAGGAGAAGUCGUAACAAGGUUUCCGUAGGUGAACCUGCGGAAGGAUCAUUGUCGAAACCUAUCCGGAACGGAACGACCUGUGAACGAGUGUUUCCAAACGCGGUGCGGAGGGCCUCACGGGGCUCCACGCCCGCAGAGUCCGGCGAAAUGCGUGCGAUCGUUCUGGGCAUGUCUCGAGCGAAAGUCCGUGAUUCCGUCGGAUAUCUCAACCAACCCCGGCGCGGAAUGCGUCAAGGAGUAAAUAAUGUGAUGGCUCUGCUCCGUUCGCCCCGGAAACGGUGCGCGGGCGGUUGCAACGCCGUGAUCCUAAGUCUAAAACGACUCUCGGCAACGGAUAUCUCGGCUCUCGCAUCGAUGAAGAACGUAGCGAAAUGCGAUACUUGGUGUGAAUUGCAGAAUCCCGUGAACCAUCGAAUCUUUGAACGCAAGUUGCGCCCCAAGCCGUCAGGCCGAGGGCACGUCUGCCUGGGUGUCACGCAUCGUCGCUCCCUCCCACCGGGAGAACCCCGGUGCGUGUGCGGAGUCGGAAGCUGGUCUCCCGUGUGGCACCGCACGCGGUUGGCCCGAAAUCGAGCCACGGGCAUGAGUGCCCCGACGAGCGGUGGUGAAUGCACAUGCCUCAUGCUAACGUCGGGUGCUCUUGUCUCGAGGCGAUCCUAGACCC
rnacentral:rRNA from 1 species